AACGUCGCUCAUCUGUAGAUCCGCACCUGAUACUUAUCGCUCGAGUAUAUACACGAGUGCGCAUAUAUACGUGUCCAUACGGAGAAAAUAGAAGGGAAAAAGACGUUCCUAAAGGGCUUCUUCCACUGGCAAAUGGCUCGCGAUGUCGUCCGCACGAUAAACCGUUUCGUGUCAAAAUGCCAACGUAAUUGAAGAAAAUCGGAUUACGCGAGAACUCGCUCCGUCUCGCUCACUCAUCCGGCAGAAGACGAGACUCGAGAGUUCUGGGAAUAUAACGCGCCUAACGUUUUGUAUUUCAAAUGUAUGUUUAUGUAUAUACGUUUGUGUACAGACACGAAAGAGGCAGAGAGAAAAAGAGAGAGAGAGAGAGAGAGAGAGAGAGAGAGCAACGGUGCUCGCGAGUUCGAAACGCGCCCCCGAGCGAACUUCGAAGAUCUAACCGUGAUAUUUAUGCAUUGGGACCGAGAAGUGGGAGAAAUUGAGGCGCGACGAACCCAGUGGCGAAUCUCGGUACUACGAGUCGCCGUGAAAGCAAACGAGACAAAAAAACACUUCGCGACCUGUCGUCUGCUAACAAACUAUAAAUCUAAACUAAUAAAUUGGCAAAUUCGCGAUAUAAUCCUCAAGUCUGCACACCUCGAUGGGUAUAACGUGCUAACUGGAUAGCGAAGCACGCUUCGAGAUGUGGAAAAGCGCUUAUUCAGUAAUUUUAAAAAUUCCAAUUCCACGUGUAAUAAUUCCAAAGACUCACACAAACGAAAAAAAAAGGGAAGGAAAAAAGUUCAUGAACGAAAGCUGACAGAGCAGCGUUAAUGUAUCGACAGGACAAAAAACUCUUGGAGGCGACGUCAAAAACAGUGCGAGGACGCGACGACGUAUCUCAUAACGUAACUACACGUUUGAUACACAAUCGUAUCUAUAUGUAUAAAUAUACAUAUGUAUAUAUCGAUG
rnacentral:lncRNA from 1 species